UAUAACUUAUAAGUUCACAGCAGUAAGCAAGUCUUUUAAGAUUGGUAAAUCAAAAUUUGUUAGUGAAGGCAGAAUUGAAUUUUCUGUGAAAUAAGAUAGAAAUCAUUGGUGGAUUUUAAUCAGAGAAAUUCCAUCAAGUAAUUUAUAUUUUAAAUUAUUUGACCAGCCAAGUAAUAUGGGGCAGAAAUGGAGGCAAAAUAAGUUAAGAAAUUUUUUGCAAUAUUCCUAGUGCAAAAUCAUGUAAUACUAAGAAAGAUGGAAAAAAUGGACACAGUAAGAAUAUGAAUUUAGAGUUGGGGGGGACUUCCCUGGUGGCCCAGUGAAUCUUGCAGUAUAGGGGACGUGGGUUUGAUCCUUGAUCAGGGAAUUAAGAUUCCACAUGCCACUGGGCAACCAAGCCUGCAUUAUACAGCUACUGAGCCCGCAAAUUCUAGACUCUGCAUGACAUAACUACUGAGCCUGUGUGCCACAGCUAGAGAGACUACUCAGCAAUGAAAUAUCCCUCGUGCCUCAGCUAAGACCAGAUGCAGCAAAUUAGAAACACACACACACACACACACACACACACACACACACACACACACGAGUUGGAAAAAUAUGCUAAAAUAAACAGAUAUGAAGGAUGGAAAAACAUGCAUAAAUAUGAUAUCCUUAGAUUCUGCUUAAGCAACUGGAUAAAGUGGGGUUGUCUUUACCAAGAGAGGAUUCUGAAUGAGCAGACUUUAGAAGGAACUUAAAUCCAUAUUUCUCUUUGGCCACAGUGAUUUUUAGUUUUUACAUAUUUAUUCAUAAAAGGAUAUUAAUAUAAAUCUGAUACUUGAUGUGUGAUAAGAAUGUGCUAUAUAUUUUGUGGCUACUAACUUGGUAGGUCACUUAGCUUAGAAGAGGUAAGGAAUUAUUCAGGGUAUUCUUGUAAAGUUAUUAUUCAUUGACUUCAGUGAGCUUUGAAAGAGGUUAUUAUCAUUUUCAAGAGAUGUCAUAGACAUGGGAAUUGUGAAAUGCCUCCAACCAUUUCUGUAAUUAAAAAGGAAGUUGCUAAGGAUGUUUAGUUCAUUCUAAUUUCAAGGAGUUAGCAUUAUAAUUUUAUUGUUUGGUAAUCAGUGAGUUUUGUAAGCAUUUAAAAAGUAGGUGUACAAAGUCACUGAGAUUAACAAUGGCAUGACUGUCAAUAAAAUAAAAUUGCAAUACUGUCCAUAUUAUUGAACUAAACAGAAUGUGUUAGGAUCCUCAUGUAGCAUUGGUAGCCCUCCAUUACAUCAUCAUAUUACUUAUUACUCAAAGAGGUAUGUACAUGUAACUGAAAUAAAAAAUAAUAAUAAUCUUCCUGUUUAGCCAUUCUAGUAGUUUUCUUCAUUAAGAGGAUAAAAUAAUGUCGAGUGAGAAGUUAAUUACAAUGUUUCUAAAUUGUGUAAUUUGAAUGUAACAAAUCACUUAAUUUUCAAAGUUCUUUUCUAAUUAUAUUUCUUCUAUUUCAUUCAGACAUAGAGCUGUUCAGACACACAGUUAGAUUUUAAGAAUUUGUAGAACCCUAACAAAAAUAUUAUUUUUGAAAAAAGCUUCUUAUUCAAGUGAAAUUGAUAGACACUCCCACUCUUAUAGUUCAUAGUAUCUGAGACUUUCAAAGGAAAGACUUUGAACCCUUCCAAGAUCUGCAUACAUCUUUUGUCAAGGGAGUUAAUGAGGUGAGAAAUGAAAUGAGAAAUGUGAUGUGCUUCCUGCAAAGAGACAUUCACAUUGCAUCCUAAACAAGGAGUUUCAGAUUUCCUUAACCUGAAAGAGGUGCAUAAUUCCCCUCACUAAUUAUUGAAAAUAAUUGUUUGUUCUGUCAAUGCUAUUUGCUUCUUAUCAAGUAUUAUAUUGGGUUUUUAUAAGACAGGCAGUGACACUGAAAAGCUUCAUCCCAUGACAACAGAACCAAAAAUCAAUAAAAUAAUAUAUUCAAAGCAUUAUGCAUUACAUGAUCAACUGGAAAUCUUUAUUCUUUCUCUCUUUUUGUUCAUUUUAAAUUUUGCUUUUUUGUGCUUUUUUGCUUCUUUCUUUCUUUUUUUCCCCUUCUAUAUGAAGGCAUUUGCAGUGAUAAGAAAUUUUGUCAUUCUAACACAAUUGUACUCAGUUGCCAUUUAUUGAAAAAGUCAACAUAAAGCCUUUAUAUAUAUACCAUUAUUUCAAUUGUUACUGCCCAAGAGCAAAAGAGAUCCCAAAUAUUAUUCAUACUGGAAGAAAUAUCUUGAAAAAAUAUAGGAAAUAUUUACUUUUCAUCUAAGAUCAGAAUGUUUUCUUUUACUUUUAUAAAUGUAUUAAAAUAUUAAUCUUCAAAACUUUCUCCUUUAAAUGCUUUUAUACUUUGAAACUUACUGCUGCCUUAUUGUACUAUAUCUGGAACCAUGCAGCUAAAAAGAGAUUUAAAGUUAUUGGAUUAAUAAUUAUUCAGGGUUUUAGCCAAAUGACUAAACCCCCUUGUUAUUCCUCUGAAUUAUUUAAAUUGCUUAAGUGUAUCAGCAUAAUUUAUCAGAUAGUGACAUUUCAAUCUGUGCCUCUAUAUAACUUCUUGUCUGUUGAAUGCCCUUUUGAGAAACUGAAUCUUAUUAUAGUUAUCUGGCUUGGAAUGUGCCUGUUUUAUUUAUUUAUUCUGGAGAGAGAUAGGAAAAAGGUGAAAAAAAUUGAACUCAUUUAGUGGCAUAAUUUUUAUGCAUUGAGUAAUGUAAAAAUAUGAAGAUAUAUUAAGGGAAUUCAUAAA
ensembl:lncRNA